rnacentral:rRNA from 1 species
AGUGAACGCUGGCGGUAGGCCUAACACAUGCAAGUCGAGCGGCAGCACAGUAAGAGCUUGCUCUUACGGGUGGCGAGUGGCGGACGGGUGAGGAAUACAUCGGAAUCUACUUUUUCGUGGGGGAUAACGUAGGGAAACUUACGCUAAUACCGCAUACGACCUACGGGUGAAAGCAGGGGAUCUUCGGACCUUGCGCGAUUGAAUGAGCCGAUGUCGGAUUAGCUAGUUGGCGGGGUAAAGGCCCACCAAGGCGACGAUCCGUAGCUGGUCUGAGAGGAUGAUCAGCCACACUGGAACUGAGACACCGUCCAGACUCCUACGGGAGGCAGCAGUGGGGAAUAUUGGACAAUGGGCGCAAGCCUGAUCCAGCCAUACCGCGUGGGUGAAGAAGGCCUUCGGGUUGUAAAGCCCUUUUGUUGGGAAAGAAAAGCAGCAGGUUAAUACCCCGCUGUUCUGACGGUACCCAAAGAAUAAGCACCGGCUAACUUCGUG